rnacentral:rRNA from 1 species
UAGGGAAUCUUCCACAAUGGGCGAAAGCCUGAUGGAGCAACGCCGCGUGUGUGAUGAAGGCUUUCGGGUCGUAAAGCACUGUUGUAUGGGAAGAACAGCUAGAAUAGGAAAUGAUUUUAGUUUGACGGUACCAUACCAGAAAGGGACGGCUAAAUACGUGCCAG